ensembl:lncRNA
AUAUACCACCACCACCAACAUAUACCACCACCAACAUAUACCACCACCAACAUAUACCACCACCAACAUAUACCACCACCAACAUAUACCACCACCAACAUAUACCACCACCAACAUAUACCACCACCAACAUAUACCACCACCAACAUAUACCACCACCAACAUAUACCACCACCAACAUAUACCUCCACCAACAUAUACCACCACCAACAUAUACCACCACCAACAUAUACCACCACCAACAUAUACCACCACCAACAUAUACCACCACCAACAUAUACCACCACCAACAUAUACCACCACCAACAUAUACCACCACCAACAUAUACCACCACCAACAUAUACCACCACCAACAUAUACCACCACCAACAUAUACCACCACCAACAUAUACCACCACCACCAACAUAUACCACCACCACCAACAUAUACCACCACCAACAUAUACCACCACCAACAUAUACCACCACCAACAUAUACCACCACCAACAUAUACCACCACCAACAUAUACCACCACCAACAUAUACCACCACCACCAACAUAUACCACCACCAACAUAUACCACCACCAACAUAUACCACCACCAACAUAUACCACCACCAACAUAUACCACCACCAACAUAUACCACAACCAACAUAUACCACCACCAACAUAUAUCACCACCAACAUAUACCACCACCAACAUAUACCACCACCAACAUAUACCACCACCAACAUAUACCUCCACCAACAUAUACCACCACCAACAUAUACCACCACCAACAUAUACCACCACCAACAUAUACCACCACCACCAACAUAUACCACCACCAACAUAUACCACCACCAACAUAUACCACCACCAACAUAUACCACCACCAACAUAUACCACCACCAACAUAUACCACCACCAACAUAUACCACCACCACCAACAUAUACCACCACCAACAUAUACCACCACCAACAUAUACCACCACCAACAUAUACCACCACCAACAUAUACCACCAUCAACAUAUACCACCACCAACAUAUACCUCCACCAACAUAUACCACCACCAACAUAUACCACCACCAACAUAUACCACCACCAACAUAUACCACCACCAACAUAUACCACCACCAACAUAUACCACCACCAACAUAUACCACCACCAACAUAUACCACCACCAACAUAUGCCACCACCAACAUAUACCUCCACCAACAUAUACCACCACCAACAUAUACCACCACCAACAUAUACCACCACCAACAUAUAACACCACCAACAUUUACCACCACCAACAUAUACCACCACCAACAUAUACCACCACCAACAUAUACCACCACCAACAUAUACCACCACCAACAUAUACCACCACCAACAUAUACCACCACCAACAUAUACCACCACCAACAUAUAACACCACCAACAUUUACCACCACCAACAUAUACCACCACCAACAUAUACCACCACCAACAUAUACCACCACCAACAUAUACCACCACCAACAUAUACCACCACCAACAUAUACCACCACCAACAUAUACCACCACCAACAUAUACCACCACCAACAUAUACCACCACCAACAUAUACCACCACCAACAUAUACCACCACCACCAACAUAUACCACCACCAACAUAUACCACCACCAACAUAUACCACCACCAACAUAUACCACCACCAACAUAUACCUCCACCAACAUAUACCACCACCAACAUAUACCACCACCAACAUAUACCUCCACCAACAUAUACCACCACCAACAUAUACCACCAACAACAUAUACCACCACCAACAUAUACCACCACCAACAUAUACCACCACCAACAUAUACCACCACCAACAUAUACCACCACCAACAUAUACCUCCACCAACAUAUACCACCACCAACAUAUACCACCAACAACAUAUACCACCACCAACAUAUACCACCACCAACAUAUACCACCACCAACAUAUACCACCACCAACAUAUACCACCACCAACAUAUACCACCACCAACAUAUAACACCACCAACAUAUACCACCACCAACAUAUACCACCACCAACAUAUACCACCACCAACAUAUACCACCACCAACAUAUACCACCACCAACAUAUAACAGUAUAUAUUUAAGCAAUAAGGCACGAGGAGGUGUGGUAUAUGGCCAAUAUACCACGGCUAAGGACUGUUCUUAG